rnacentral:rRNA from 1 species
ACAAUGGAGAGUUUGAUCCUGGCUCAGGAUGAACGCUAGCGGCAGGCCUAAUACAUGCAAGUCGAACGAGCCACAGGACUUCGGUUCUGUGGUUAGUGGCGCACGGGUGCGUAACGCG